rnacentral:rRNA from 1 species
GUAGGGAAUAUUGGGCAAUGGAGGCAACUCCGACCCAGCCAUGCCGCGUGCAGGAUGACGGCCCUCUGGGUUGUAAACUGCUUUUAUACGGGAAGAAAAAAUACUACGUGUAGUAUACUGACGGUACCGUAAGAAUAAGGAUCGGCUAACUCCGUGCCAGCAGCCGCGGUAAUACGGAGGAUCCAAGCGUUGUCCGGAUUUAUUGGGUUUAAAGGGUGCGUAGGCGGAUCUUUAAGUCAGUGGUGAAAGCCUGCAGCUUAACUGUAGAAUUGCCAUUGAAACUGAAGAUCUUGAAUGUGGUUAAAGUAGGCGGAAUGUAUCAUGUAGCGGUGAAAUGCUUAGAUAUGAUACAGAACACCGAUAGCGAAGGCAGCUUGCUGAACCAUUAUUGACGCUGAGGCACGAAAGCGUGGGGAGCGAACAGGAUUAGAAACCCUAGUAGUCC